ACAAGAAGGUGGUGGUGGGGGGGGGGGCAGUCAGGGCAGGAGUGUGGCUGCCUCAGAGUAUCUGGGCCUCCUUCUGUCUGUCUGUGUCGGCUUCUGCACGUUCCCCCUCAGACUGGCAGUUGACAAUGUCUUUUACAGCAACGCAAAUCCGGUAUCCUACCGGGUCGAGGCCGAGCGGUCAUUAAGUGGCCGCCUCGGGGAACUGGGUGCAGCACUGUCAUCCAACUGGAGCCUCGCUGUCAAGCAGGCCCAAGGCCAGCCACAAAGGCGCGGUUGUUUCACGGCCCAGACUCCACCGCAGGGAGGGACGGAGGUGCCCUUGGAAACCCCAGCCUUGGCUCUGCGGAGCUCAGCGUUUGGCCUUCAUUGAACUAUUGUUGCUUAAUCCUGGCUGCUCAGGAAGGUCACCCGGGGUGUUAACAACUGUAUGCAGGUGUGGUGACCUAACAGCAUCCCAGAGAUGGUCCCGUUCCACCCCUGGGGACUGCUGCCUUGCCUGUGAUUAAGCCCCCUCCUUACUGGCAGCAGGAGGCCUUGAUGGGUUGGGUCAUCAUCACCUGGCAUGUCACUAGGAGGCAUUUCCUAAGUUUCCUUCCAUCAUGGGAUGGAGAGGCACCUGAUUCUGAUCCCUUCUGUAUUUCUCC